rnacentral:lncRNA from 1 species
CUAGAAACUAAUUUUUAGAUGACAAUAUAUCUAAAUCGAGAGAUUGAGGAAAAUUUUACCAGAGAGAAUCGGAGAAAUCGGACUCCGGCUGGCGAGGCCAGCUCGCGGUGGCCGUCUGAACUCUGGGGGAGGCUGGGGGCGCGGCUGGACCCUGGGGCGACUGGAAAGGCCAGGCAGGGGCUCAGCCCUAUGCGCGACUGUGCGGUGCAGUCUCUGCAAGGAGGGGUGGCAGGGGGCGCACGGCUGAAGCGAGAGCGGCGCGCGGUGGCAGGUAGAAGGGACGGAGCGGGCGAAGGCGGGGGGGAUUGAUUCUAAGGAAGAAGAUGAUUUGGUGAUUUGGGUGAUUUUUUUUUUUUUGAAGAGGGUGAUUUGGGUGAAAUUAAUUUAGAAAGAAAGGUUUGGGAUUUGGAGCGAAAAGGUGGCGGGAGGGUUAUAUUUAGUUUUUAGAAGAAUAAUUUUAUUUUUAAAAAUUAAAAAAAAUUAAAAAAAAAUCAUAGAUAACAUUAGGGAAUAACGAUUACAACUACCGUUAUAAAUUACGCUCAUACAUAACGGUAUUCUUAACACUGAAACAACCGUUGUUGAAUCCAUGCUCAUACAUAACGAUUGGGUUAACGGUUUAGUAGCACUGUUAUAUAUAUCAUAAAUAGAUAACGCUAUUAUGUAACGC